rnacentral:rRNA from 1 species
UACGUAGGGUGCGAGCGUUAAUCGGAAUUACUGGGCGUAAAGCGUGCGCAGGCGGCGCGUUAAGACAGGUGUGAAAGCCCCGAGCUUAACUUGGGAAUUGCGCUUGUGACUGGCGGGCUGGAGUGUGGCAGAGGGAGGUGGAAUUCCACGUGUAGCAGUGAAAUGCGUAGAGAUGUGGAGGAACACCGAUGGCGAAGGCGGCUCACUGGACCGGAACUGACGCUGAUGCGCGAAAGCGUGGGGAGCAAACGGG